UACAGAGGGGGCAAGCGUUAUUCGGAAUUAUUGGGCGUAAAGGGCGCGUAGGCGGCCUGGCAAGUGGAAGGUGAAAUCCCUCGGCUUAACCGAGGAACUGCCCUCCAAAACUGCUUGGCUUGAGUCCGGGAGAGGUGAGUGGAAUUCCCAGUGUAGCGGUGAAAUGCGUAGAUAUUGGGAGGAACACCAGUGGCGAAGGCGGCUCACUGGACCGGAACUGACGCUGAGGCGCGAAAGCGUGGGGAGCAAACGGG
rnacentral:rRNA from 1 species